ACUAAUUUUAUUUAUGAUAUGUUUAUGAAUCAUUGUCUUAAUAUUUUGUAAUUUUGUAGUAAUUAAUUGCUAUCAAAUAUCUCUACGGUUUGCUUCUUAUAAUCGAAUUGUUAUAGUCAUAAAAAAAAAGCAAUAUCAAAAAUGAUAAUUUUGUAGUGUUUAAAUGAUAUUAAAUAUUUUGGAAGUUUUAUUUUAAUAACUAAUCGUAUAAUUAAUGCGGAGAGAUUUUGGGAAGGUAGUUAAAUGCAAACAUUUAAUUUGUAGAUUUACUUUCUAAUUAUCAAAAACAAUUAUUAAAUAUCAGUGACAGCCACUAUAAAUAAGUCCCAAGUUGAGGAUUUAUUUCACAAAAUGACUGCAAAAAUGUAUAUUCCCCAUCAACAAAGAAGAUAUAAAUACAGAAUAUGAACUUUCGACAU
rnacentral:sRNA from 1 species